GACGAACGCUGGCGGCGCGCCUAACACAUGCAAGUCGAACGAGCGAGAGAGAGCUUGCUUUCUCGAGCGAGUGGCGAACGGGUGAGUAACGCGUGAGGAACCUGCCUCAAAGAGGGGGACAACAGUUGGAAACGACUGCUAAUACCGCAUAAGCCCACGACCCGGCAUCGGGUAGAGGGAAAAGGAGCAAUCCGCUUUGAGAUGGCCUCGCGUCCGAUUAGCUAGUUGGUGAGGUAACGGCCCACCAUGGCGACGAUCGGUAGCCGGACUGAGAGGUUGAACGGCCACAUUGGGACUGAGACACGGCCCAGACUCCUACGGGAAGCAGCAGUGGGGAAUAUUGCACAAUGGGGGAAACCCUGAUGCAGCGACGCCGCGUGGAGGAAGAAGGUCUUCGGAUUGUAAACUCCUGUUGUUGAGGAAGAUAAUGACGGUACUCAACAAGGAAGUGACGGCUAACUACGUG
rnacentral:rRNA from 1 species